rnacentral:rRNA from 1 species
UACGGAGGGGGCGAGCGUUGUCCGAAGUUACUGGGCGUAAAGCGCGCGUAGGCGGGUUGGUAAGUCCGCUGUGAAAGCCCGGAGCUCAACUCCGGAGGGUCGGUGGAUACUGCCAGUCUUGAAGGUGCUAGGGGGAGAUGGAAUUACCGGUGUAGCGGUGAAAUGCGUAGAUAUCGGGAGGAACACCGGUGGCGAAGGCGGUUCUCUGGGCCUGUACUGACGCUGAGGAGCGAAAGCGUGGGGAGCGAACAGG